CGUAAACCAAAGCAAUGGCCAAAACUCCGAAGAAAAUCGCUGAGAUGUUGCAACAGCAAAUUCAGAUGAAACGAGCAACAGUUGCUAAAGAGUUGACGCUUGAGCUGACUGUCGACAAAGCCCCACUGAAAAUCCCUGAAACAAAAAAUCCAGGCAACCCUGGAAAGAAGCUGCAUGGAAAAGAUGAGGAUGAAAGGAUAAAGGAUUAAAGCUGUAGAUUGCUAUCAUAUCGAAACAGAUCAUUUCGACCUUGAGAAGAGCACUCGUAAAUCAGGCAGACAGGGCCCUAU